GACGAACGCUGGCGGCGUGCCUAAUACAUGCAAGUCGAACGCUUUUUCUUUCACCGAGACUUGUCUCACCGAAAGAAAAAGAGUGGCGAACGGGUGAGUAACACGUGGGUAACCUGCCCUCGAGAAGGGGAUAACACUUGGAAACAGGUGCUAAUACCGUAUAACAAUAACUGCCGCAUGGCAGGUAUUUGAAAGGCGCUUUUGCGUCACUCGAGGAUGGACCCGCGGUGCAUUAGCUAGUUGGUGAGGUAACGGCUCAUCAAGGCGACGAUGCAUAGCCGACUUGAGAGGGUGAUCGGCCACACUGGGACUGAGACACGGCCCAUACUCCUACGGGAGGCAGCAGUAGGGAAUCUUCGGCAAUGGACGAAAGUCUGACCGAGCAACGCCGCGUGAGUGAAGAAGGUUUUCUGAUCGUAAAACUCUGUUGUUAGAGAAGAACAAGGAUGAGAGUAGAACGUUCAUCCCUUGACGGUAUCUAACCAGAAAGCCACGGCUAACUACGUGCCGGCAGCCUCGGUGAAUGCGUAGGUGGUGAGCGUUGUGCGGAUUUAUUGGGGCGUAUAGCGAGCUGAUUGCGGUUUUGUAAGUGUGAUGUUGAAGCCCCCGGCCCUGCCGGGGAGGGUUAUGUGAAACUGGAGAACUUGAGUGCAGAAGAGGAGAGUGUAAUUCAUGUGUGGGGGUAAAGGCGUAUAUAGAUGUAGGAAUGUGAUGGAUGAAGGGCAUGUGGUGUGUGUGUUUGUGAUGGUUUGAUGCCUGGUGUGUUGUUGGAGUGAUGCUGAUGAGGUGCAUGAGUGGAUAUGCUGUGUGUUGUUGUGUUCUUGUCUGUCGUCUUUGUGAAUAAAAAAAUGUGUUGUUUGUGUGCUUGAGUGUGGUGUUUUUGUGUGUUUGUGUGUUUGUAUGUGUGUGGUGUGUGGGGGGU
rnacentral:rRNA from 1 species